rnacentral:rRNA from 1 species
UACGUAGGGGGGCAAGCGUUGUCCGGAAUCAUUGGGCGUAAAGCGCGUGUAGGCGGCUUGGUAAGUCCGCUCUGAAAGCCCGGGGCUCAACCCUGGGAGGCGGGUGGAUACUGCUGAGCUCGAGUCCGGAAGAGGCGAGUGGAAUUCCUGGUGUAGCGGUGAAAUGCGCAGAUAUCAGGAGGAACACCAAUGGCGAAGGCAGCUCGCUGGGACGGUACUGACGCUGAGACGCGAAAGCGUGGGGAGCAAACAGG